rnacentral:tRNA from 1 species
UACUUUUUAGUAUAGCCAGUACAUUUGCCUUCCAAGUAAAAAGUUUAGAUACCCCUAAAAAAGUAA